CAAAUUUAAAAUCUACCUGGUUUCCAGGUCGAGUUGUAAUUUUGAAGAUACGUUUUUGACGUUCCGGGUUGRACUAAAUCCUUUGGGAUAAGGUAUCAUGGAGGGUGAGAAUCCCGUAUAUACCAACCAUAGGGAUGUUAUUUAAUACGUUUCUAAGAGUCGAGUUGUUUGGGAAUGCAGCUCUAAAUGGGUGGUAAAUUUCACCUAAUGCUAAAUAUWAGCGAGAGACCGAUAGUGAACAAGUACAGUGAUGGAAAGAUGAAAAGAACUUUGAAAAGAGAGUUAAAUAGUACGUGAAAUUGUUGAAAGGGAAACGAUUGAAGUCAGUCAUGCCCGUGGGAAUCAACUUAGAGGAAACUCUGAGUGCACUUCUUCGCUUGGCAGGUCAACGUCGAUUUUGGAUGUCAUAAAAUGAUUGGGGGAAGGUAGCUCCUUCGGGAGUGUUAUAGCCCUUGGUAGAUGUGAUGUCUGGGAUCGAGGAUUGCAAUGGAUACCCUUUGGGGCUAGCCGCCUGAUCUCUAAUCGGUAUUGGGUUACGGAUAGCAUGCUGACCGUGAUCUAAUUAUUGGUUAAAAGGUUAG
rnacentral:rRNA from 1 species